UAGUGGGUGGUAUAGUGGUUUGAGAACUGAACUGUGACUCGAGACCAGGGUUCAAAUCCCUGCUCAGUCA